rnacentral:rRNA from 1 species
GAAGGUGGCUAGCGUUGUUCGGAUUUACUGGGCGUAAAGGGAGCGUAGGUGGUUUGGUAAGCCCUUCGGGAAAUCUUCGGGCUCAACCCGGAAAGUUCGGAGGGGACUGCCAGGCUAGAGGACGGGAGAGGAGCGCGGAAUUCCCGGUGUAGCGGUGAAAUGCGUAGAGAUCGGGAGGAAGGCCGGUGGCGAAGGCGGCGCUCUGGAACGUUUCUGACACUGAGGCUCGAAAGCGUGGGGAGCAAACAGGAUUAGAUACCCUGGUAGUCCACGCCCUAAACGAUGGAUACUAAGUGUCGGCGGGUUACCGCCGGUGCCGCAGCUAACGCAGUAAGUAUCCCGCCUGGGGAGUACGGCCGCAAGGUUG